CUAACUGUAGGGUCUACACCUCACGGUAUUCGGUUUCAUCUCAAUUCUCUACCCCCACCCCUCUCAGGCUCUCACCUUCCUCCUCUCGCCUCCCUCGUACUGUGAUAAUACACACUCUCUCUCCUCGAAAGAGAUUGUGAAGUUCUCUCUACGACGGCAAGGCGUCUCUUUACUCCAUGGCAUCCUACCACCUUCUCUAUUGUUGUCUUCAAGCUCUCUAAUCCCGCGACAACGACCUGACUAUGGAGCUUGUGAGUGCAAAGUAUUGCUCAUGAGUCGUAUUGCAGAAUGGAAUUCAUGGUGUCUGUGUGAUCACAUUGGUGCAAAAGAAUUGGGUGCGAGAUUCAUGUAGGAAGAAGGCAUUUUAAUGUAUUUGAGGAGUGAGGACUGUAGUGGAGGAAGGAGCUUUCGACCAUGCUAGAAGCUAUUUUGAGAAAUAUCACAGUAGAUUUCUUCUUUGCAUACAACUUUCGAUCAUGCACUUAGAGUCUUGUUGUAAACACAAGGACUAUAUGAUAGUACAUAGUAGCUUAGAGAUGUAGUUUCUCUUUUCUUUAAUGUUUCCUCCUGCAUCUUUUAUAUAGCGCCUAACUUGAUAAGACUAAUAUAGACAUCUAAGCUUAACAAUUUAUGUUUUAAAGUGUUAUAGCAUUCUUUGAUCAGGAUGACUGGUCCUAUGAGAUCAAAUUCUGGGAAAAUGCCCCCUUAUCGUCUGUCCUAAUCUAGUGAGCUUGCACUGUUGAUGUUAUAUGUCAGAGCAAAUAUACAAGCUUCUCUGCUCUCCAAAAGUAAUGUACCAAUACAAACAAUGCAGGAACGUCACUGGAACAUCACUGCCGUUACAUUAACAUCACAUUGAAUUGAGAUACCCGUGCAAUUAAACAUGUUGAGGAACUAGUCAACAAGUAUUAUGACCUGGUUACUAGUUUCUACUAGUUUGGCUGGGGAGAGUCUUUUCAUUUUGCUCACAGAUGGAAUGGAUAAUCUCUGAGUGAAAGCAUCAAACGCCAUGACCACUUCCUUGCUUUGUAACUAGAACUGAAACCUGGACAGAAGGUGUUGGAUGUAGGAUGUGGUAUUGGAGGACCACUCACGGAAAUUUCUAGAUUCAGUAAAGUUAUGAAGUCUUAGAUUGGUAGCUCAACAUCUGUGACAGGGUUGAACAAUAAUGAAUAUCAAAUUACAAGGGGAAGUUUUAAUAUGGCAAACAACAAUUCAUUCAACAUUCGAUCAAUUCUCGAAAAGGAGAAGUUGAACGGGAAAAAACUUCCUUAACUGGCAAAGGAACUUGCAAAUAGUUCUUAUGCAGGAAGGAAAGGAGUAUGUCCUGGAAGAGGCGAUGCCCGAAGCUGCAGGCGAAGGGGACACUCAGGCAGCCCUCAGUCGUUGGAUUGAAUCCAACAAGGAUGUGAAAUGUCUAAUGCUUGCAACCAUGGGUGCAGAUCUGCAGAAAACGUUCAUCAACUCAGAUGCUUUCACGAUCAUCAGUGAGUUAAGGAACAUGUUUCAAGAUCUGGCUCGAUUCGAAAGGUUCGAGACCCAUAGGCAAAUUCUUGAGACCAAGCUUAAGAAAGGCGAGCCCGUAAGUCCACAUGUUCUCAAAAUGAUUGGACUCAUUGAGAAUAUGAGUCGGCUGGACCAGCAGUUCUCUCAGGAAAUGGUUGUAGACACCAUCCUCCAUUCUCUUCAUAGCGGGUAUGAUCAGUUCAAGCUGAACUACAGUAUGAAUAGUCUGGAUAAAACGCUCACUGAGCUUCACGGUAUGCUGAAGACCGCUGAAAAGACGCUCAAAAGUGAUAAGCAAGAUGUGCUUAUGGUGCGUGGGGGCAAGUUCAAGAAAUCUGGAAAGAAGAGGAAUGCUAAGAAAGGUGGAAACAAGGCCAGCCAGACUAAGAAGCCAGGCGGCACCAAAUCUGAAAAGAAGAAGGUGAGCCAACCUACUUCUGAAUCUGAAUGCUUCUAUUGCAAGAAGAAGGGGCAUUGGAAGAGAGAUUGCUUGAAGCUAAAGGAAGAUCAGAAGAACGAAACAGUCGUUCCAUCUUCAGGGACUAAGAAGAAGUAGAAGGUUAAGCAAGGGUGAAGUCGACCUACGAGUGGGAAAUGGAGCACGAAUUGCUGCAUUAGCUGUAAGAACUUAUUAUUUGUCGUUGCCCUCUGGGCUAGUUUUGGAACUGGAAGACUGUUUCCAUGUUCCAAGUCUUACUAAAAACAUCAUUUCUGUUUCUUGCUUAGAUGCUAAGGGAUUUUCCUUUUUA